GGGAAAUGGCACAAAAAUGUGAUCUCCCAACCGGUAUAAAAGUUUGGAUGUUGGACAGGAGAAUAUGCACCUUAAUUGUGCUAAAUAUUUUAUGGACCUUCAUUGCUCAGUUAUCAAAUUUGUGUCUAUGCCGACUCUUUUGCUUUGCUUUGGUUGUUAAAGUCUUUUAAACUAUCUCCAACUGAAUCCUUGCUGAAUCCCUGGUGCCAGUGGCUGCAUUAAAGGUGGAGGAGAGGAGACAACCAGAACAAGUUAUUCUGAAAAGCCUAUAUAGUCAGAGCCUGCAAUAUGUGAGUUGAUAAUGGUCACCUAAAAGAAUUCUUAUGUGUUUACAGUAUUGUGCUAUGGACUGUUUCAUACUCUUAGUCUUAGGUUGACUUUAUACUCACUGAGGAUCAAGAGUAAAUAAGUAUUGUUUUGACAUUUCUAUUGCACUCAUUUAUUAAUGAUUUGCACCCCCUAUUUGUAUUUUUACGGUUUGCAUUUGGAGUUUUGUGUCUUGUGAGUGGUUUUAGACACUGUGGGGAAGUCGCGCUAAUUUUACUGACUAGCGCCACAUUUACACCUUGUCACUUGCACUUUGUGUAAAGUAAUUUUGCAUUCUCUGUAGACAAUGCCUGGAUCUUACAUUCAUCACUGGUGACAGUUGCUUGGAUUGGACAAAAGUUGACAGAGAAGCUCCGCCUUCUGUUAACCUCAG